rnacentral:rRNA from 1 species
GAACAUGAGAGUUUGAUCCUGGCUCAGGAUCAACGCUGGCGGCGUGCCUAACACAUGCAAGUCGAACGAAGCAAUUAAGAUGAAGUUUUCGGAUGGAAUCUUGAUUGACUGAGUGGCGGACGGGUGAGUAACGCGUGGAUAACCUGCCUCACACUGGGGGAUAACAGUUAGAAAUG